CCAACUGGGUUGAAAUCUUUGCUCAUCAGAUAGAGAAGGAAGGGGGGAGGGGAGGGAGAAUGAUGGAGUUGAAAAGGCGAGAGUGAGAGAGGGGGAGGGAGAAUGAUGGAGUAGAAAAGGCGAGGCCCGAAGGGAGAGACGGGUGCUUGACCUUUGGGGCAUCGGAUCUCAUCAUCACCCUCUGCCUUUCUAUGCUACAGUAGGGUUUUCGGAAGGUGCCAUGUGCGAUGCCAGGUCCCAGGAACUGCCGCAGAUGACACACUUGAUGACAUGUUUGAUGACAGCUCGCUCUCUUUUCCACCCCACCACCCCCCGGCGGCGGUAAGUGGAAUGCAGUGUUUGGCAUGGCGCGAUUGGUGGGGGAGCCCGAGAAAGACUUUGGGUUGACGGCGGUGGAGAUGAGACUCGAUCCGGAGGUUGGAC
rnacentral:lncRNA from 1 species